rnacentral:sRNA from 1 species
UAAUUGGAACGCAGGCGUCAUUAACGCCCAU